rnacentral:misc_RNA from 1 species
CGAGAAAUCCCCAAAUCGAGAUCAUGGAAUUCCCAUUCCACCGCCAUCACCGUCGCGACGAGGAGGAGGAGGAGUCGCGCUUCCCUCCGCCCGGCCACCAACACCGACCGGACUUCGACGGCCCCCCGCCUCCCCGCCCGUAUGGCAAUGACUUCGAUGGUCCCCCACCUCCCCGCCCCUACGGCAAUGACUUCGACGGUCCCCCGCCUCCCCGCCCGUACGGCAACGAGUAUGACGCCCCUCCUCCUCCUCAGUAUGGCGAGAACGCGUACGGCGCGCCAGCGUACCCGCCGGUCCAGCACGUGUCGCACGGUUACG